rnacentral:lncRNA from 1 species
CUUAAGAUUCCUCCGCGCACUGCGCUAGCGUCCCGGCAUUCUGCUUUCCGGCGCUCUGCCUUCCGGUGCGUCGUUUACGCCAGUUUGAACCAAAGACGCCCAAGGUUGAGGCCGAGUUCCAGAGCAUGGGGUCUCGGUUGUCCCAGCCUUUUGAGUCCUAUAUCACUGCGCCUCCCGGCAUUGCCACCUGGGGUAUCGUUGUCAUGGCAGACCCCAAAGGGAAGGCCUACCGCGUUGUUUGAAAGUACCACCAGUGAAUCUGUCUUCUGUCUCUGUCCCUUUCCCCGUGACACACACAGCAGGCAUGGAAUUUAAUGGGUGUUCUGGACAGACACUUGUACAUGGACAGACAUCACUACUGUGGAUACUACAAGACUGAGAAGAAAAUCGUAUGUUGUCAUUCUCUGGCUAUGGAGUGUUUGUGGCCUUCACAGAUUUCACAGGAACCAAUAAAUCCCUCAGAGAAGUAAACAGGUUCUUU